GAUGAACGCUGGCGGCGUGCCUAAUACAUGCAAGUCGAGCGAACAGAUGAGGAGCUUGCUCCUCUGACGUUAGCGGCGGACGGGUGAGUAACACGUGGAUAACCUACCUAUAAGACUGGGAUAACUUCGGGAAACCGGAGCUAAUACCGGAUAAUAUAUUGAACCGCAUGGUUCAAUAGUGAAAGACGGUUUUGCUGUCACUUAUAGAUGGAUCCGCGCCGCAUUAGCUAGUUGGUAAGGUAACGGCUUACCAAGGCAACGAUGCGUAGCCGACCUGAGAGGGUGAUCGGCCACACUGGAACUGAGACACGGUCCAGACUCCUACGGGAGGCAGCAGUAGGGAAUCUUCCGGAAUGGGCGAAAGCCUGACGGAGCAACGCCGCGUGAGUGAUGAAGGUCUUCGGAUCGUAAAACUCUGUUAUUAGGGAAGAACAAAUGUGUAAGUAACUAUGCACGUCUUGACGGUACCUAAUCAGAAAGCCACGGCUAACUACGUG
rnacentral:rRNA from 1 species